rnacentral:rRNA from 1 species
GACGAACGCUGGCGGCGUGCUUAACACAUGCAAGUCGAACGAAGUGGCGAACGGGUGAGUAACACGUGAGUAACCUGCCCUCUUGUUUGGGAUAACGGUCGGAAACGGCUGCUAAUACUGGAUAGUGGGGGAUGGGCUCGCGGUCUAUCAGCUUGUUGGAGGGGUGAUGGCUUACCAAGGCUUUGACGGGUAACAGGCCUUAGUGGGUGACCGGUCAAAUUGUGACUGGGACACGGCCCCGACUCCUACGGGAGGCGGCAGUGGGGGAUUUUGCACAAUGGCCGCAAGCCUGAUGCAGCGACGCGGCGUGAGGGAUGUAGGCCUUCGGGUUGUAAACCUUUGUCGCUCAUGGUCGGGUAGUGGGUAAAGAAGCGCCGGCUAACUACGUGCCAGCAGCCGCGGUAAUAC